AACGAACGCUGGCGGCAUGCCUAACACAUGCAAGUCGAACGAACCCUUCGGGGUUAGUGGCGCACGGGUGCGUAACGCGUGGGAAUCUGCCCUUUGCUUCGGAAUAACAGUUAGAAAUGACUGCUAAUACCGGAUGAUGUCUUCGGACCAAAGAUUUAUCGGCAAGGGAUGAGCCCGCGUAGGAUUAGGUAGUUGGUGGGGUAAAGGCCUACCAAGCCGACGAUCCUUAGCUGGUCUGAGAGGAUGAUCAGCCACACUGGGACUGAGACACGGCCCAGACUCCUACGGGAGGCAGCAGUGGGGAAUAUUGGACAAUGGGCGCAAGCCUGAUCCAGCAAUGCCGCGUGAGUGAUGAAGGCCUUCGGGGCGUAAAGCUCUUUUACCAGGGAUGAUAAUGACAGUACCUGGAGAAUAAGCUCCGGCUAACUCCGUGCCAGCCGCCGCGGUAACAC
rnacentral:rRNA from 1 species